CAGUUUCCGGCUCGAUACAAAGUUUCACCUUCCAAGUUUUCGAAUUGAAACAGAUUCUUUCUACUCACUCGCAGGUGAAUGAGGUUUAUGAGGAAACCCCAAACAGCGAACUUGGCUGCCGGGAACCACACUUGUCAAGAAAAGAGGAAGAGGGAAACGAAGACUGAGCCAGUUCCGUGAGAGACUCCUCUCCUCCAGAGGCAUUUCUUCCUUCGCUGUUGCUAUUUUAUUAGGAGACACUGCUGCAGAAACUGCUGAAUGAGAAUGCGUUGGAAGAUGGCUCCUUCCUUCAACUUUGUGCUCCUCUUCGUGCUUUUGCUGAAAGGUGCCUCCCUCA